rnacentral:misc_RNA from 1 species
GGCCCUCUCAAAUUUAGAACCUAUGCUAUUCCCAUUGUUUACAUGCUCAUCAAUCUUUGGAGACAAUUCACCUUCUUCAUUUGACACAUUUGCCUCAGUUGUCUAUGGCUUGUGAAACCCUUCUGUGACAGCUUUCCCUGAGAGAUUCAUUGGGGAUUUUUCCUUACAUCUGUAACAUUGCAAGCAAAAAGGUUAAUCUUAUUCAUUUCAAGCUGCUGUCCCAUCAAA